GCUGUAGUUCAGUGGCAGAACACCUGCCUUGCAUGCAGAAGGUCACAGGUUCAAUGCCCAGCAUCUCCA